AUCCCUCCCAUAGUCCAAUGGAAUGCGCGCCGUCCCGCCAGCCAAUCACAGGGCGGUGGUGGCUAUAAAUAGCGGGCCCCGCGGCUGACUUCUCUGCGGAGUCUUGUCGCUCGGUGUCAGGCAGUUGGUUUGUGGAAGAUGGCGCGUACGAAGCAGACAGCGCGUAAGUCGACGGGCGGGAAGGCGCCCCGCAAGCAGCUGGCCACCAAGGCGGCCCGCAAGAGCGCGCCGGCCACGGGCGGCGUGAAGAAGCCGCACCGCUACCGGCCCGGCACGGUGGCGCUGCGCGAGAUCCGGCGCUACCAGAAGUCGACGGAGCUGCUGAUCCGCAAGCUGCCCUUCCAGCGCCUGGUGCGCGAGAUCGCGCAGGACUUCAAGACCGACCUGCGCUUCCAGAGCUCGGCCGUCAUGGCGCUGCAGGAGGCCAGCGAGGCCUACCUGGUGGGGCUGUUCGAGGACACCAACCUCUGCGCCAUCCACGCCAAGCGUGUCACCAUCAUGCCCAAGGACAUCCAGCUGGCCCGACGCAUCCGCGGCGAGCGCGCUUAAGCUCCUAGCAAAACGGAUCUUCCUGACUAUCGCAAACCCAAAGGCUCUUUUAAGAGCCACCACACGGCCACUAAAGAGAGCUGUAAAUUCUUGACUUCUGUGUAGGAAGCGAUGCGUUUCUUUGCGCUUUUCAGGUAGUUUUACAGUGAUCGAGAUCCCCGUAUCCCAUCAAGUAAGUACCAAAUGAAGAUGAGUGGGUCACGUUUCAAAGGGGUCGAAAAAGUCCUCUAUAGUGGAACAGUGCGGUGUGGUAAUUCCUGUUGCGGGGGUCGUGCUAGCGUAAGUCUCUAGAAUUGAAGUGAAAAUUGCUUUCUGCGCUUUCUCGGGCCUUUUUAGCUCUUAAAGUCUAAUUUUGGGCUUUUCUUUUAAGAUGCCUACCUUGAGGUUUGUAAAUAUAUUUUCUAUCUGUGUUUUAAAAUUAAUCCUACAAACUCGUUUAGUUUAUAAACGUGACUAUAGAACUCUGUGUUCUCGAUUAGAGAAGAUUUAUUCAGUGGAAGGCUAAUGUAAAUGCUUCUUCCUAUGCUGCAUUUACUUCCUGUAUUUAACAACAUUACAUUUUAUUAUCCCGACAGAAGUACUGUUUUCCAACCGCCGCCCCCCCCCCCUUUUUUUUGGCGGACAGAGGUGUUUUUUUUUCUGAAGGAGCAUAAAGUCUUUUCCCGCCGUUGCAGGAAAUGCGCAGGGUCGGUAGUUUUCUCGGUGCUUUUGUCACUCGUGGUCUAAGUGUCCCUGUCGUGAACGACCUCCCCCGGGCAGCUUCAGCCCUUCUGAAGCACUUCUUCAUUCCUGAGAUAAACGUUGUAUUUCCAGGCAAAGCUGGGGGUAGGGGGGUGACAAGGGUAAUUUCUGCCACUGCCGUUUUCAAAGAGGUGUCUUCUCUGGGGCACACUCGUGGCAUCCUUCAUGCUUCUGAGUACGAUAAUACCGUAAUCGCCCCCUCUGAAUGAUUACAGACGACCAUUUAGAUAAAUUUUCUCCAUCUGAGUUUAGGCUCCCAGAAAUAUUUGCUGAACUGAGCACAGGGGAACUGUUUUCCAAGGAGUAUUUGUGAUUAAAAACUUGACAUCGAGAUCAGAAUUAUUGUUAAACGGAUACUCUUCUCUAUCCGUCGUAUUCGGUGAUUUUAAUUUUUUUUUCGUGAACGUACCUGGAAAAAGGGGUCUCUCCCUGACUGUGAGUUUAGCUGCACAACCCUUUGCCUUCCUGCUCAAUAGAUCAGUAAUAAGUUCCUGAAAAAUCUAGAUUUCUAAAAUUAUCUGUCACUUUUCUAUCGCCUUUAACUUGUAUAUAUAUAUAUAGUGCAGGCCGUUUCAUGUAAUUUGAAGAUCUUGCUGUUCUAUUGAAGUAUUGGAAACCAUGUAAUAUAAUGUAAAUACAAUGUGAUUAUAAUUGUUUUUUCAAUGCUACAAAUGUGCAGCUGUGCCUUUAAGAAGCGGUUGGAUUGAGUUGAAUAGAGCUUUCAGCAACGCUCCGAAACAAGGAGCCCCAGGAAUUGCUUAGAGGGAAUAUGUCUUUUGGGAAGCCGAAAACUGAGGGGCUGAGCUGAUGAAUGCUGCCAGGCAGGAGCUGGCUCUCCACAAGACCAGUUUGCUGAGUGGCUGAAGACUGGCUUGGAGUUGAUGGCUGUUUUACCCCGAAGCACUGUGACAAGUUGCCAGCAGAGGACUGGAAAGAAAAUAUGUUACUGGGCUUGAUGACCCCACCUUUGUACAUCAGCAAAGACUGUACUAUGCUGUGCUGUGUCAUCUGUUCUGUUGCACAUGUGGAGAUUAAAUGUAGUCAAGAUUAUUCAAAAAGCUGCUCAAAUCUCCUCUGUAUCCUUUUCACUGCUCUCUUUAACCUUUCUCCUGACCCAUCACCAUACAUUUGCGAAGACCUUCCAACAUUUCCUUGCAUGCCUGCCCCAUGUCAUGAGUAUUUGAGGUAGUUAUGAGCACCCCCAUUCUCUCUGCAUCUGUGGUUUUGUGUAUUAUCCCAAGCACAUCACUGACCCAUCAGGACAAAUUGGUAAAGCUAUACUAAAUGCUGGCCUGUAAGAGCUUCUAUCUGUGAGGCCAUUAAUAAGAACUUGUUCCAGAGGGAACAUGAAAUGAUUUUCAAUAAAUGUUCAAUAUGCUCCCAUGGAUUUUAGCACAAUGUGCCAAUGUUGCAACAUGAAUGAGGACGCAGAGCUUAAAACAUGAUGUAAGAAGCAUAAUGGAAAGGGAAAGAAGGGUGCUUUCUGGCACACAGCUUUUCAGGAACAGCCAAAAAUCAAAUGCAAAACUUUGUGUGUGUUUCAGAUGCCAGUUCAAGGAGCAGAAUUAAUUCAGACUACUGGUAGUCCAUGAAAUGCAG